rnacentral:rRNA from 1 species
ACUCCUGCGGGAGGCAGCAGUGGGGAAUUUUGGACAAUGGGCGCAAGCCUGAUCCAGCCAUGCCGCGUGCGGGAAGAAGGCCUUCGGGUUGUAAACCGCUUUUGUCAGGGAAGAAAAGGUUCUGGCUAAUACCUGGGACUCAUGACGGUACCUGAAGAAUAAGCACCGGCUAACUACGUGCCAGCAGCCGCGGUAAUACGUAGGGUGCAAGCGUUAAUCGGAAUUACUGGGCGUAAAGCGUGCGCAGGCGGUUAUGCAAGACAGAGGUGAAAUCCCCGGGCUCAACCUGGGAACUGCCUUUGUGACUGCAUGGCUAGAGUACGGUAGAGGGGGAUGGAAUUCCGCGUGUAGCAGUGAAAUGCGUAGAUAUGCGGAGGAACACCGAUGGCGAAGGCAAUCCCCUGGACCUGUACUGACGCUCAUGCACGAAAGCGUGGGGAGCAAACAGGAUUAGAUACCCCGGUAGUCCCAUGA